rnacentral:rRNA from 1 species
CCUACGGGUGGCAGCAGUGAGGAAUAUUGGUCAAUGGGCGCGAGCCUGAACCAGCCAAGUAGCGUGAAGGAUGACUGCCCUACGGGUUGUAAACUUCUUUUAUAAAGGAAUAAAGUGAGGCACGUGUGCCUUUUUGUAUGUACUUUAUGAAUAAGGAUCGGCUAACUCCGUGCCAGCAGCCGCGGUAAUACGGAGGAUCCGAGCGUUAUCCGGAUUUAUUGGGUUUAAAGGGAUAGUAGAUGGGUUGUUAAGUCAGUUGUGAAAGUUUGCGGCUCAACCGUGAGAUUGAAGUUGAUACUGGGAGCAUAGAGUAGAUUUGAGGUAGGGGGAAUGCGUGGUGUAGCGGAGAAAUGCAUAGAUAUCACGAAGAACUCCAAUUGCGAAGGAAGCUUA